rnacentral:rRNA from 1 species
UCGGGAAUUUUGGGCAAUGGGCGAAAGCCUGACCCAGCAACGCCGCGUGAAGGAUGAAGUAUUUCGGUAUGUAAACUUCGAAAGAAUAGGAAGAAUAAAUGACGGUACUAUUUAUAAGGUCCGGCUAACUACGUGCCAGCAGCCGCGGUAAUACGUAGGGACCAAGCGUUGUUCGGAUUUACUGGGCGUAAAGGGCGCGUAGGCGGCAAUUCAAGUCAUCUGUGAAAUCUCCGGGCUUAACUCGGAACGGUCAGAUGAUACUGCUUUGCUAGAGUGCAGAAGGGGCAAUCGGAAUUCUUGGUGUAGCGGUGAAAUGCGUAGAUAUCAAGAGGAACACCUGAGGUGAAGACGGGUUGCUGGGCUGACACUGACGCUGAGGCACGAAAGCGUGGGGAGCGAACAGGAUUAGAUACCCCCGUAGUCCCUGAGCGGGCUGGCAAGGCGCAU